ACAUGUGGGACACGGAUGAGAUCAUCAGCGCUCAACCCAUCAGGCAUCCUGACUCAGACGCAGUAGGACAAGGUGGAGGAGAUGCCUCUGUCCCGUCGGUCUGGGGACAGCCCAGCUCCCCGGAUCCCGGGCUGGAGAGACGCGUCGCGGCCCCGGGGCCUGGUGGCACGAGCAGGAAGGAGGACCCGGCGGCGGGCUCUGCCUGGGCUUGCCUGGGCUUGUUCCGAGCCGGGCUGCUUCUCGGUGACCACGCAGAUCGGGGGCAUUUGGAGAUUUUGCGGGAGUCCUGCAGCCAAGCUCCGGGGCAGGAGAGGCCUGGAAGCCUGCACUACCUGCUCGCCCCGUCCCAGCAUGCACCCAGGUAAACGCUUGUGUUUCUCAGUCCGUGCGAAAGUUUGCAAAGAAGGAGGCGGGAACUAGACCAACAACUUUAAUAAUCAUAGUCAUAAUAAGGAAAACCCUGUUCAAUUGUGUAGCCUCCGUAAGGGGAAGAAUUUCCAAGAAGCAACAAAAUGUUCUUUGAUUUCAU
rnacentral:lncRNA from 1 species